GCGGGGCACGUGGGAGAGGAGGCGGUGUUGCCCAGCGAGUUGUGAGGGGAACCUCGGCGACCAUGCAAGGCGCAUCAGUGGCGCUCGCUGCUGCUGCAGCAUAAGUGCUUGUUUUCUGAAGGCGCAUCCUUCGCUAGUUUCUCCCGCUUUCCUGCCCCCCAAGUGCCCUGCGUUGUUCCGACUUUCUUCUCAUUUCGCAGCGUAGCUCCUCCGACUUUUCUCUGAACGCUCAGUUUGCAAACUCCUUGGGGAAGGGAUCAUAUUCCAGAAGGGUAGCCAUAUCCAACAAAUCUGAAGCUUUGGUGCUCGGUAGUGUAUACUGUGAUGUGUUAGUUACUGAAAAGGAAACAGCCUCUUACAGACAAGAGGACCACCUUACAAAAGAUUACAAAAUGGUUUGCUUGAAAUAUGGCCUUUUCAAGCUCUAACCAGAGAAACCAGAAGCCUACACAGAACAACGUGGCCAGACCCAUGUAGAGAUCAACAUCCAAUGUUAACGAUUUUCAGUGAAGUGUGUUCAAAUAAAAGCAUAAAAGCC